CAUUAAUAAGUUGAGAGACGGGUGUAAUUUUUUUAUGAUUAGGUAUGGUACCUUUUGCAUCAUGAUUCGCUGAUAUAGUCUUAAGGAUUUAGGGGCUCGAAGGGUUACGAUUAUCAUUCAAUAUGUUUAGGACUUAUACCUAGGUGGGUAAUUUUUUGGAUAAUUGUUUGAGGUGUUGAAAAAUAAUUCGUGUAAUCUGAUAGCUAGUUGGGAAGGAAUAUUAUAUAGUAUACUUUGUUGCGAAGCGGUGAUGGAGUGUAUAAGAAAUGUGUUGUAAUGUUAUAGUGGGUCUAGGGUCAGAGUUACCCUUGAUUUAUUAGUAUGUUACUAUAAGAUGUUUUGGAUUAUGCGUUUUUAGUCUUUUACUUCUCGUAGUGAAUUAGUUAGUAGUAUUAAUGGUGGAAUAAGUAGAGUUAGUAGUGUCUCUUUUUUUUCUCGGUGCUUGUCGGUCUGUUUUUCAAAAACAUUUCUAUUUGUGAUGGUUAAAUAGUAGGACCUGCCCUAUGUUUAUAUAAAUGGCCGCAGUAUAUUGACUGUGCAAAGGUAGCAUAAUUAAUUGUCUCGUAAUUGGGGAAUUGUUUGAAUGGUUUAACCAGAUGAGAGGGAAGAUGAGAGAGUUGUUUGAAAUUGGAUGUUUGGUGCAGAUUCCAAAGGUGAUUAGUAGGACGGAAAGACCCCGAGAGCUUUAUAUUAGAAUAUUUAUUUGGGGCAGAGGUAAAUUAUUUAUUUAUUUUAUGAUCCUAGAAGGGUAAAAGGUGUAAGUUACCUCGGGGAUAACUAGGUAAGAGAUAAGGAGAGGUCAGAUCGAUUGAUCGAUUUAUUUAUUUGCCAUCUCGAUGUUGAUUUAAAGUAAUAUGAGGGCGCAGAAGUUCUUGUAUAUGGUCUGUUCGACCAUAGUACUUUUCAUGAAUUGAGUUAAGACCGGUGUAAGCCAGGUCGGUUCUUAUCUGUUAUUCUUGCGAGUUAGUACGAAAGGAUUGCUCGUGGUUUAUGUU
rnacentral:rRNA from 1 species